rnacentral:rRNA from 1 species
UGGGGAAUCUUGCACAAUGGGCGCAAGCCUGAUGCAGCGACGCCGCGUGGGGGACGAAUGCCUUCGGGUUGUAAACCCCUUUCGGCAGGGAAGAAGCGAAAAUGACGGUACCUGCAGAAGAAGCUCCGGCUAACUACGUGCCAGCAGCCGCGGUAAGACGUAGGGAGCGAGCGUUGUCCGGAUUCAUUGGGCGUAAAGCGCGCGUAGGCGGUUUGGCAAGUCGGAUGUGAAAUCCCGAGGCUCAACCUCGGGACUGCAUCCGAUACUGCCCGACUAGAGGUAGGUAGGGGAGAUCGGAAUUCCUGGUGUAGCGGUGAAAUGCGCAGAUAUCAGGAGGAACACCGGUGGCGAAGGCGGAUCUCUGGGCCUUACCUGACGCUGAGGCGCGAAAGCUAGGGGAGCGAACAGG